GCUUGCUCUUAUGAAGUUAGCGGCGGACGGGUGAGUAACACGUGGGUAACCUGCCCAUAAGACUGGGAUAACUCCGGGAAACCGGGGCUAAUACCGGAUAACAUUUUGAACCGCAUGGUUCGAAAUUGAAAGGCGGCUUCGGCUGUCACUUAUGGAUGGACCCGCGUCGCAUUAGCUAGUUGGUGAGGUAACGGCUCACCAAGGCAACGAUGCGUAGCCGACCUGAGAGGGUGAUCGGCCACACUGGGACUGAGACACGGCCCAGACUCCUACGGGAGGCAGCAGUAGGGAAUCUUCCGCAAUGGACGAAAGUCUGACGGAGCAACGCCGCGUGAGUGAUGAAGGCUUUCGGGUCGUAAAACUCUGUUGUUAGGGAAGAACAAGUGCUAGUUGAAUAAGCUGGCACCUUGACGGUACCUAACCAGAAAGCCACGGCUAACUACGUGCCAGCAGCCGCGGUAAUACGUAGGUGGCAAGCGUUAUCCGGAAUUAUUGGGCGUAAAGCGCGCGCAGGUGGUUUCUUAAGUCUGAUGUGAAAGCCCACGGCUCAACCGUGGAGGGUCAUUGGAAACUGGGAGACUUGAGUU
rnacentral:rRNA from 1 species